UUACACAGAAGACAUCUAUCGUAUAUACCAGUUCAUAAGCCAAAUUGUUUUAGUGAAAAAGGGAAGCAUCAGAGAAGGGGGUCGGCUUAUGAACGAGUAUAGAGAGAGGGAGAGGUGGGACACGGCCCCUCCCCCAAACAGAAGGGGCAAGGAGCUGCAGCACAGUCAGCAGAGCCAGAAGGGAAGAGGUAGGGCCAGCGUCUCUCCGCUUC